GAUGCUGCCUGGCCUGCUGCGUUCACCAGCAACUUUGAUGUGUGUUUCCAGUGGCUUCUGCUUUAAUGACAAGAUUCCAGCGUUAGCAGCGUGGAAAAGGCCCUUCCAGCCCUUCGAGCUGCACUGUCCUGUAACCUCCAAUUUAACCAUAGCCUAAUCACGGCUAAUUACUCUACCAACCAGUACGUCUUUGGACAGUGGGAGGAAGGUGGAGCAUCGAAGGAAACCCACACAGUCACGGGGAGAACAUGCAAGCUCCUAACAGACAGCGGCAGGAUUGUAAUUCGGGACACAGGAACAGGCCCAGGAUAUUUAAAAAGAAGGACCAGUUCCUGACAUACAUCUUCUUUACGGUUACACUGACUUAUCUGAAGGCAUAUGGAAGAACUGUGCAAUAGAGGGUGACAACAAAGUUUAUUAAAAAUUGCUACAGUAGCUUUAUAAGAUAAUGGAAUGUAAAUUACAAAAGUAUGAUUUGACAACAGAUUACAAAAUGGAUACACAGCUGAAUGUCGCCCAAGCAUUGAGCUGAAACUGCCUUGCUGAAACAGAUAGGCAAGAUGAGGAAGAUAACAAAGCAACCAUACACACGAUAUCCUUUCUCCCAAUAGCAAGAGACUCAGCGAGAUGACAAAGAAAAUGUAGAAAAUCCAGUAGUAACGAUCUGGAGCUCAUGCCUUCAAGACUGAGUCAAUCAAUGCUUUCGAAAACAAAUUGGAUAAGUACCCGAGGGAUAUAAUUUGCAGGGGCUCUUCCCUUAAAGGACCCAGAGAACUAAGUAUUUUUCCUACAACAGGCCAGUAAUUUCAUGAUUACCUUUACUAAUUAUAGAUUUUUUUUUAAAUCCCAGAUUCAUUAUCCCAAAUGCAGAUAAAAUCAAAAGUUGAUGCUGAGAUGCUAUAACAUUAAUACUUCCAUUUGUCAAGGGAUUGACAUUAGGCUUUGGAGCAUGAAAAAUCAUAUAUUGGUAAAGUGCCUCAAAGAAGGAAAGGAGUUACAAAUCCAAGGACUCAGCAAGAGAUGGCUUCUUCAAGUUUGUUAUGCUGUCAAUAUGCAAUAUACAUGCAAGCAAAAAGCCAAUUAAAGCACGUGACAUUUCAUGUCAAACUCUGGCAUAAGUUAUGCACUGAUAUAUUGGAAUUUAAUUUAAAUCAAUAUUUAAUCAUUGUAAACUACUUUUCAAUUUUUUUGAACUUAAUA